rnacentral:rRNA from 1 species
CUGGCGGCACGCCUAACACAUGCAAGUCGAGCGGAGAUUGAGAGCUUGCUCUCAUGAUCAGCGGCGGACGGGUGAGUAACACGUGAGCAACCUGCCUUUCAGAGGGGGACAACAGUUGGAAACGACUGCUAAUACCGCAUAACAUUGCCGAACGGCAUCGUUUGGCAAUCAAAGGAGCAAUCCGCUGAAAGAUGGGCUCGCGUCUGAUUAGAUAGUUGGUGAGGUAACGGCUCACCAAGUCGACGAUCAGUAGCCGGACUGAGAGGUUGAUCGGCCACAUUGGGACUGAGACACGGCCCAGACUCCUACGGGAGGCAGCAGUGGGGGAUAUUGGACAAUGGGGGAAACCCUGAUCCAGCGAUGCCGCGUGAGGGAAGAAGGUUUUCGGAUUGUAAACCUCUGUGGACAGGGACGAUAAUGACGGUACCUGUUUAGAAAGCCACGGCUAACUACGUG